AUGCCGGCGCGCAAGGCGCCCGGGCCGGACGGCUUUACCGCGGAAUUCUUGAGCGCUUGCUGGAGCAUUAUCAGGCAGGACAUCCUGGAUGUUUUUGAGCUGCUCUACGCGCUGCGCGGGUAUGGGUUCAGCAAGCUUAACCAAGCUUUGCUAACCUUGCUCCCCAAACGUGCAGAUGCCCACAUGCUCGGCGACUACCGCCCGAUUUGCCUGAUUCACAUUGUGGCCAAGAUCUUCGCGAAGGUCCUGUCUUUGCGCCUUGCCCCCAAGCUCGACACCCUUGUCAGCCGCAACCAGAACGCGUUCAUCGCCAGACACAGCCUCCACGACAACUUCAUUCUAGUCCGGCAAUCUCUCAAGCUGCUGCAUCAACUUGGCGCGCCCAGAAUCAUGCUCAAGCUCGACCUCACGCUCGCCUUCGACUCCAUCUCAUGGCCCUUCCUCUUCGAGGUUCUGCGCCAGUAUGGGUUCGGCGAUCGCUUUAGGGAAUGGCUGGCCAUCCUCCUGUCCACGGUGCUGGCGGUGGACACGCUCGGACGGCUGAUGCGCCGCGCCCUCCAUGCCGGCAUCCUGCAGCAGCUCCACCCCCGUCGCGCCAUCCCGGCGAUUUCUCUCUACGCCGAUGACGUGAUGCUCUUUUGCCAUGCCACAACGGAUGAGGUCUCCGCGGUCAAGCAUCCUGGGCGUGUUUGGCAUGGCUUCCGGACUCUAGGUGAACUACACCAAGAGCUCUGCCACGGUCCUUCAUGGCGACGAUUCUAG
rnacentral:rRNA from 1 species